UACAGAGGGGGCAAGCGUUGUUCGGAAUUACUGGGCGUAAAGGGCGCGUAGGCGGCCUUCUAAGCCGAACGUGAAAUCCCCGGGCUCAACCCGGGAACUGCGUCCGAUACUGGAAGGCUUGAAUCCGGGAGAGGGAUGCGGAAUUCCAGGUGUAGCGGUGAAAUGCGUAGAGAUCCGGAAGAACACCGGUGGCGAAGGCGGCCUGCUGGGCAGUAGCUGACGCUGAGGCGCGACAGCGUGGGGAGCAAACAGG
rnacentral:rRNA from 1 species